GUAGGUGGCAAGCGUUGUCCGGAAUUAUUGGGCGUAAAGCGCGCGCAGGCGGGUCCUUUAAGUCUGAUGUGAAAGCCCACGGGCUCAACCGUGGAGGGUCAUUGGAAACUGGGGGACUUGAGUACAGAAGAGGAAAGCGGAAUUCCAAGUGUAGCGGUGAAAUGCGUAGAGAUUUGGAGGAACACCAGUGGCGAAGGCGGCUUUCUGGUCUGUAACUGACGCUGAGGCGCGAAAGCGUGGGAGCAAACAGGAUUAGAUACCCUGGUAGUCCACGCCGUAAACGAUGAGUGCUAAGUGUUAGGGGGUUUCCGCCCCUUAGUGCUGCAGCUAACGCAUUAAGCACUCCGCCUGGGGAGUACGGCCGCAAAGGCUG
rnacentral:rRNA from 1 species